rnacentral:rRNA from 1 species
UACGUAGGGUGCGAGCGUUAAUCGGAAUUACUGGGCGUAAAGUGUGCGCAGGCGGCGCCGCAGGUCGAGUGUGAAAGCCCCGGGCUUAACUUGGGAAUUGCGCUCGAAACUAUGGUGCUGGAGUGUGGCAGAGGAAGGUGGAAUUCCACGUGUAGCGGUGAAAUGCGUAGAGAUGUGGAGGAACACCGAUGGCGAAGGCAGCCUUCUGGGCCAACACUGACGCUCAUGCACGAAAGCGUGGGGAGCAAACAGG